GCUUCCCUCUUUCUUCGUGCCUAAUACAUGCAAGUCGAGCGAACGGACGAGAAGCUUGCUUCUCUGAUGUUAGCGGCGGACGGGUGAGUAACACGUGGAUAACCUACCUAUAAGACGGGGAUAACUUCGGGAAACCGGAGCUAAUACCGGAUAAGAUUUUGAACCGCAUGGUUCAAAAGUGAAAGACGGUCUUGCUGUCACUUAUAGAUGGAUCCGCGCUGCAUUAGCUAGUUGGUAAGGUAACGGCUUACCAAGGCAACGAUGCAUAGCCGACCUGAGAGGGUGAUCGGCCACACUGGAACUGAGACACGGUCCAGACUCCUACGGGAGGCAGCAGUAGGGAAUCUUCCGCAAUGGGCGAAAGCCUGACGGAGCAACGCCGCGUGAGUGAUGAAGGUCUUCGGAUCGUAAAACUCUGUUAUUAGGGAAGAACAUAUGUGUAAGUAACUGUGCACAUCUUGACGGUACCUAAUCAGAAAGCAACGGCUAACUACGUG
rnacentral:rRNA from 1 species